GCAGGAGCACACCGUGCACAGGGCCAGUGCCGGGCCCCGUGAGCAUCCCUCUGCCCCAAGCUGCUGCUUCUCAGCUGUCCUCGUGCCACACACCCGGGUCUGCUCCUUGUGUCCCCAUCUGUGUGUCACACACGUCCCUGUGGCUGCACCUGAGCCUGUCUCAGCCUUGCCCAGCACACACAAGGCACACCACUCCAUACCUGUAUGUUGUGCCUUUUUACCGUAUCCCAGCCCUCUCCUGUGCUUCCAGCUCUCAUCCCAUACACUGUCAGGCUGCUGUGACACUGCUUUCCCCAUGGACCACGAAGGGAUUAAAAAGAUCAUCCAGACGGGGGGAAAAACGACACUUUGGAGCAUUAACUGGUGCGCCCAGCUCCAGCCCUGCCCUUCUCCCGACGGGGGCUGGGUUGCCAGCCUUGGGCUGGUGUCCUCAAUCCCAUCCGUGCUCCCCGCUCCUUGGGCUUGCCAGCAGAAGACGAGCACAAGGCUUUCAGCAGGGGCUGCCGGUUUAUCUGUGGGCACCGGCACACCGAUGCGCUGACGGACAACUAAUGAAUCACAGCAUCCCUUAUGCACCAACUUCUUUGAAAUGCAAAGCACUCCCUUGGUAUUUCGGCCCAAAGUGAAGCCGGAGAGAGAGGAAACAGAGAUGGAGAGCUGGGAUGCCGAUACGGCUGGGGAUUAUUUUGCUUUCGCGAAAUGAUUUUUCCCAUUUUGCAGCAAAUUUGGUGCUGAUGAAAGGCUGGGGGUAGCGGGCUGGCAGCCCGGGAGGCUUCACUCACCCCGUGUGGCACGAAGCCUGGGGAGCAGGCAGACAUCAGGAAAAGUGCUCUCCCGUACCUGUGGGGAGGCAGGAAAUUUGGUCUCGGCUGCCCCGCUCCCUUCGCCCCAUGUUCUUGGUGCUCACA